rnacentral:rRNA from 1 species
CCUACGGGGGGCAGCAGUGGGGAAUAUUGGACAAUGGGCGCAAGCCUGAUCCAGCCAUGCCGCGUGAGUGAUGAAGGCCCUAGGGUUGUAAAGCUCUUUCACCGGUGAAGAUAAUGACGGUAACCGGAGAAGAAGCCCCGGCUAACUUCGUGCCAGCAGCCGCGGUAAUACGAAGGGGGCUAGCGUUGUUCGGAAUUACUGGGCGUAAAGCGCACGUAGGCGGAUCGUUAAGUGAGGGGUGAAAUCCCAGGGCUCAACCCUGGAACUGCCUUUCAUACUGGCGAUCUUGAGUUCGAGAGAGGUGAGUGGAAUUCCGAGUGUAGAGGUGAAAUUCGUAGAUAUUCGGAGGAACACCAGUGGCGAAGGCGGCUCACUGGCUCGAUACUGACGCUGAGGUGCGAAAGCGUGGGGAGCAAACAGGAUUAGAUACCCCUGUAGU